rnacentral:rRNA from 1 species
GAUGAACGCUGGCGGCGUGCUUAACACAUGCAAGUCGAACGGGGAUUACACGGCGAUGCGAUUUCGGUCAAAUCAAGUGCAAUCUUAGUGGCGGACGGGUGAGUAACGCGUGGGUAACCUGCCUUGCACUGGGGGAUAACACUUAGAAAUAGGUGCUAAUACCGCAUAAGCGCACGGUCCUGCAUGGGACAGUGUGAAAAACUCCGGUGGUGCAAGAUGGACCCGCGUCUGAUUAGCUGGUUGGCGGGGUAAAGGCCCACCAAGGCGACGAUCAGUAGCCGGCCUGAGAGGGUGGACGGCCACAUUGGGACUGAGACACGGCCCAA